rnacentral:misc_RNA from 1 species
AGCAGCCGCGGUAAUUCCAGCUCCAAUAGCGUAUAUUAAAGUUGUUGCAGUUAAAAAGCUCGUAGUUGAAUUUCGGGACCAAUUUGUUGGUCGUGCCUCGGUACGUACUGGUAUUAUUGGUUUCUCCCUUCUGAAGAACCUCGAUGCCAUUAAUUUGGUGUCGUGGGGAAUCAGGACUGUUACUUUGAAAAAAUUAGAGUGUUUAAAGCAAGCAUACGCUUGAAUACAUUAGCAUGGAAUAAUGAAAUAGGACGUUUGAUUCUAUUUUGUUGGUUUCUAGGAUCGACGUAAUGAUUAAUAGGGAUAGUUGGGGGCAUUAGUAUUCAAUUGUCAGAGGUGAAAUUCUUGGAUUUAUUGAAGACUAACUACUGCGAAAGCAUUUGCCAAGGAUGUUUUCAUUAAUCAAGAACGAAAGUUAGGGGAUCGAAGACGAUCAGAUACCGUCGUAGUCUUAACCAUAAACUAU